UGGUGAGUUGGUUGGGAUGUUGAUGCGGAUAUGUAAGGACCGUUGGACACCAUCUAUUUCCCCAUUGGUAUGAUAUUGUCCGCUUUGGGCCUAAGCCAUCACGAAUUUGUUUUUGGGCACCUUCCCAAAAGGCCUCAUUCCAAUGGAGAUGGUGUCCAACUUUAUAUACCCAAGAUCCUUCCCAUUUCUAGCCAAUGUGGGACUUUGGUUGUACACCCAACAAUCCUCCCCUCAAACAAAGGACCACCUUGCCUCCCCUCAGACGAUUACAGAUCUAAACCUGAAUCCCUCGAUUCCAACACUCAAGAUCCCCUUGAGUAAGCUAGAUGAAUACCUUCACCAGCUAGAUUCGAAAUCCCUUCGAAUACCUGAAUCGCUCGAUUCCAACACUCAAGAUCCCCUUGAGUAAGCUAGAUGAAUCCCUUCACCAGCUAGAUUCGAAAUCCCUUCGAAUCAGAUCUGAACCUCUGAUGGCUCUAGCAGCAAGCUUCACCUCCUUUGUUUGGCAAUCCGAUGAUACAUUCACAUGGCUAAUUUUGGGAUCCGGCUCUGAUACCACUUGUAAGGACCGUCGGACACCAUCUAUUUCCCCAUUGGUAUGAUAUUGUCCGCUUUAGGCCUAAGCCCUCACGAAUUUGUUUUUGGGCACCUUCCCAAAAGGCCUCAUUCCAAUGGAAAUGGUGUCCAACUUUAUAUACCCAAGAUCCUUCCCAUUUCUAGCCAAUGUGGGACUUUGGUUGUACACCCAACAGGAUGAUUGUACUUGGGCUUUUUUUUUUUUUUUUAUCUCCUUGCAAUAGUAUGUUGCAAGAGCAUCCCUUAAUUAAUUAAGAGAUUAGCUCAAGUGCAUCACUUAUACUACAAAUUCCAUUUCAGAUUAAUUGUUUGUAUUAAAAAAAAAGAGGGAAUUAAGUGGCUCCAGAUCUUUAAGUGAAGAUCUAUAAAGUAUUAUCUAAAUGUAUAUUGCACUCUCAAGCCUAUUUACACAUAAUUAUAUUGUUCCUCUGUCAUUAAUUGUGGAAAAGAAUAAUAAGAGACCCUCUUCAUAUUUUUCUUUUUCUUCACUUUCUACAUUUGAUAUAAUUGUGUGUGUAUAUAUAUAUAGAUAUUUACACACAUCAGGCUUGUUGGCUUUGGUCUAUUAAUGUGUUAUAGCUAGGAAAUUAUAUUGUAAAAUGACACCAUAGGAAUUUAGUCUCAUUAUUCAAGAUAGUUGCAAAGAUUUUUUGGUACCAAGAUUAUUGUUUCUUUGUAUCUGAUUUGUAAAACAUGUUUCUCUUUUCUCGAACUAUGUUGGGUAUGAUAUUUGGGGACAAUCUUGUUCUAUAUUAUUUUUGUUUUAAUAAGUUAUAAUUUUCAUACUUUUCACGCAUAGCUGCUGUCUACUUGAUACUCUCUAUUAUUGAAUGUAAUACAAAUCCUAUCUCAUCUCCCUUUGCACCCUUCUUACCAGAAGGACAUCUCUUUUGGGUAUGAAGCAUGGAAGGGUGUUCCAUUUCUAUUGUUGCUUUAGUGUUAUUUUUAGUUAUUUAAUUAUUUUAGCCACUGGCUAUAAUCGUUCUCACUCAAGUGGAUAAUAUUGAUUAUUUAUACAAUUUAUAUUAGUUACUGGUACCCAUUUAUAGCGGUGGUUUUGUUAUGUUAAGGUAUUAUUGCCAUUAAAUGACUUUGAUUAUACCAAAUUCAGGUACAUGUGACAUUCUAUAGCUUUCAUUAGGCUAUUUUCAACUGCAAUUGUCUUUUUAUGACUAUGAUUAUACUGCAUAUAUUUUUUUUCAAGAGUGGUUAUCCUAUAUUUAGUUGCAAGAAGUCAAGAAAAAUUCUAGCUUCUGGAUACAUCUUAUGAGGUAAAUGAUUGAUUUAUCUUCUUUCUUUUUAAGUUUUAUUAAUUAUAUAACUGUUAUCUUAUUUUAUUUCCCUAUUUUGCUAUCUGCUUUCCCUUGUACUGCAUGGCUACUGGUUGUUAGUAGUGGUGGCACUACCUCAUGUUUUGUUAGGACCUUAUUGCUGUCAUUUUCUUGUUGAGCUUUAUCUGCUCUCUUUUUGUAUAUAAGAAUCAGAUUGUAAUCUUCCAAAACCUAAUUAGAAAGUGUUUUCUUCUUUUCCAAUCUCUAGUUUUUAUUUUGUAACAGAAGUAAUUCCCAUUCUCAUAUUGGAUGUGAUGCAUUAAUAUUUUGAGUUGUUAUAAUGCCCCAUAUAGUUGAGAAUUUGCUAACUGUGGCCUCUUCGAACAAACGCUGAGAAAGAAAACAAAAAUUACAUCAUUUGCUUCAAUAUAGCUCAAAAGUGGAUCUGCCUAUCAUAGUGGUUGUGUGGUUGUAACGACCCACAUUUACUAAUGAGGCUUAAGGGCCUUAAUUAGUGUGUCGGGAGGACAUAAUUGGAAUAUAUGUGAUUUAAUGAUUAAAAGCAUGUUAUAUGGCUAUUUGAAUAUUUGAGAUGCAUGACUAUGUGUAUUAAUAUGCAUGUAGGCCCUGAUUAGGUUAGAAAGGGCAUAAUUGUAAUUUUGGCCCGUUGAGGGCAUAACUGUAUAUAUAUAUGUGAUAAUUGUUGAGACCACAUUAUUAUGUGGAUAUAUUUGUGAUCUGUGAUUCGAGACGAUCUUAGUGAACAGGUUGGCGAAAAAGUCACGGCGGGGAUUUAUACCCGGCUCGGGGCAAGCCUGGGGGGUAUAAAUGGGAAUUUAGAGAAUAUAUUGGGGUCUAUUUUAAUAUAGAGGAAUAUAAUUGGUGAUUAAUUAGGUAUCAGGAAGUAAGCAGAAAAUAUUAGAGACACUCGAGGAAUUAGCGGGAAUUGGGUGAAAUGACCAAAAUACCCCUAGGUGGAUUAAAUGAGUUAGAAUUAAAGGGGAGGGUAUUGUGGUCAUUUGGGCUUAUAGAGGAUAGGCAUAACUGAGGCUUUAUGCUUAGUGGAGUUUGUAGAAAGAAAUAGAAGUCUGAAGAAAGAAAAGAAAGGAAAGAAAGAAGGGAAAGAUGAGCAAGCUAUUUCCAAGGUCGGUUUAGGCAUACUGUAAUGCCCCAAAUUUCCUAAUAAGGUUUAGGACCUUGAUUAGGAGGCCGGGAGGGCCAUAAUUGAUUUGUUAUAGUAUUUAAUGAUUAUAUGCAUGUGUUACGUGAAUUAUAUUAUUAUAUGAUGGUGGGUGCAUGCAUUGGGAGAAUCUAUUAAUUAUGAGGGUAAUUUGGCCACUGUGGGCGUAAUUGUAUAUUUUGGGUGCAUGAUUGUGAUUAAUUAAUGUAGCCACAUUAUAAGGUGGAUUGGUUCGAGCUAUUCGGCAUGAGACGAUCAUGAGAUGUAAGUGUUCGGUCUAGUCAUAACGGGUUUAAGUUCGGGGCUCGGGGUGAGUCUUGGGUCAUUUUGAUGACUAGAGCAUUACCGGGAAUUAAAGGGUAAUGGGAUAUGAUUUAUUGGUAUUUGGGAAUAUUGAAAAUAGCGGGAAUUGGAAAGCGUUAAUUAUAAUUAACGAGAUAAGCGGGAAAUGACGAUUUUACCCUUGGGAGUGUUUAGAGGGAUUUAUUUGGCCUAAGGGCAUUAUGGUCUUUUGACCUUAAGGAUUUAUAUCAGCCUAAGGGAGUUUUAGAAGGCUGUGGAAACAGAAUAAAACAGAGCCAUCCUCAUCCCUUCUUCCUUUCCCUCCCGUACAAACUCUCCUUCAUCUUUCUUUCCAAAUUUUGAGAGCCAUCUUGAGGAGUUGAGCUAGGAGAUCAAAGGUGGGAGUUAGGGAACUUGAUUCAGACAUUGGAGGGGAUUCAAAAUCGUGUUUGAGGUAAGUUUCAACCAUUAGUUUCUGGUUUAUACUCUAUUUCAGUUUAAGAUUUCAGCUUGUAAAUUCUUGGUGGUUAAUUGGAAUUAAUGGGAGUUAGGUUGAUGUUUGAUUUGGGUUUUGAUGAGGGUUUGAUAUAGAUGUUGUUUACAGGUUGAAUUGAGUGUUUGGAGAAGGUUUGGAACUAGUUUGGAGGCUUGGUUCUAAGGGAAUAUGCAGGGGAGGUCGAGCUGGUGCGUUGCUGAUUUUUGGCUGAUCUGGGUAAUGAGCCGCGGCCUGGCUUUAGUGUGCCGCGGCCUAAGGUGGCUUCUGAGGCAAAUAUGCCUCUGUCAGGGAGAUGAGCCGCGGCAUGGCUGUGGUGAGCCGCGGCCCAUCAGGGCAUUUUUGGCUAAAAUUGUGUUUUUAGCUUAGGGAUGCUUACCAUAGGCCUCGGGGUUGAUCUUACUACUUGGUUAAGUGUGGAUUGAUGUCUUGGAGGCUAGAUUUUGGUCCGGGAACUUAUGUUGAUCAUUUUUAUUGAUGAUACCUUAUAUUUGGUUAUGACUAGGUGACCGCUAAAGGACUAAAAGUUGAUCGUUCUCAAGGAUCGUUCAUUAAAUCAUUCUAGCUCGAAUCUGAGGUAAGAAAACUGCACCCUGUGUAUAUGUGACAUGCAUGGCUAUUAUGAUGCAUGUUGGUUGAUUAUUGAGUAUGACAUGCGUGGUUAUUAUUGAUGCAUGUCGGUUGAUUAUUAUGUAUGACAUGCAUGGCUAUUCUUGAUGCAUGUCGGUUGAUUAUUAUGUAUGACAUGCAUGGCUAUUCUUGAUGCAUGUUGGUUGACUAUUAAACGUGACAUGCAUGGCUGUUAUUGGUGCAUGUUGGAUUGCUGGAUAUAUUGCAUAUGAUGCAUGAGAAAUAUGUGAUUAGGACAUGCUUUGUAUACUGGGUAUGAUAUUGUUCAGAGCUUGAGCCUCUGUGGUUGUACAUGGUCCUAAUUGUACUGGUAUCUGUUUAGUAAGCAUGCUAAGUACCUUGUUUAUGGAUAUUGAACAUGUGGUAUAUGAUUGGUGGCAUGACUUACUUGUGUAUGGCACUGACUAGUCAGAGACCGACUCUAAAGUCGAGAAUCAUGCAUUGAAUGACUCUAUGGCAUUAAUGCUAGACCGACCCUAGGGUCGAAGAACUUAUAAGCGCUUGCCUGGUCUAUGACCAGAUGUUUAUAGCCAAGGUAUAUGACCCCGGUGACUGUUUGUCACAUGGCUAGGGGACGCUGUCCAUAGCACGACUCUAGAGUCGGGAGGAAGGUUAUGUUGGUGACCAUUCACCAUGCACCUGUCCUAAUCAAAUUUAUGAAAGGAUCACUUAUCAGUUAAGCCCUGGUGACCCUAUCGUCACAUGGCUAGAGGGAGCGAUGCUAAUUAUUGUGACUUUUGGCUAUUGUCACCUAUUUGCUUGGACUGAUAGUCCUGAAUGGUUAUUAUGAUCGUUGUUGAUAUUAUAUCAUGCUUUAUUGUGUUUUCUUGAUGGGCUUCGGCUCACGGGUGCUACGUGGUGCAGGUAAAGGCUCUGGAAGCUGAACCAUCCUUGAGUUGGAGAGCUUACGUGAUGAUGUGUACAUAUGCAGCUGCUCGUCCGCCACGGCCGAGGUUUAAAGUGGAACUAUGGUUAAACCUUGUUUUGCCACUUAGAACGGCCUGUUGUAAAUAUUUUAUGUAAUAGACUCUGAAAUUAUAUUUUUGGGAUCCCAAUGUAUAUAUUAAACGUUCUAUCUUAUCCAAAAUGUUUAAUCCCUAAAUCGCUAAUCAUACUUAGUUACACGUUUUUGGCCAAAUGACUCGGUUAGCGAGUUUAACACUGUUUACAAGGCACACCGUAACGGUCCCUGGAGUGGGGGCGUUACACAUACCUCCAUCAAUUCUUGAGGUAUUUUGGAGCAGAAACCCAAGGGAAGCUAGAGUAAGCUUGAGGCAAGAGUUCUUGGUCUGGCUUGAAGAAUUAGCAAGGGUUUAGCAAGAACAAGCCAUUCAGUUGAGGGAAUUCAAGCCAGGGGUUUGAGGAGGAGUAAUCCAAGGAGGUGUAGAGGCUGGCUUAAGGUCGAAUCCCCAUUGAAGGUGCGCGCUAGGGCUCAAGGGGGAUCGUGCUCAAGGAUCAAGUGAACAAAGCUAGCGAAUUUAAAGGUAAAGGAAAAGGCAAGUUGGACCAAUCCUGAGAUGGAGAGCUGCAGGGCUGAAUGUACAUAGUCAGCUGUUCGGUCGCCAUGGGCGAGGAGUGGAUCAGGACAAGGAUUGCUUAACUGUUUAUUUUGCCUUAGUAUGGCUAAUACUGUAUUUAAAUCUCGAAUCUUUUGUAAAUGGUUUUAGUCCUAUUAUUUUUGGGAUCCCAUGUAAACAGAAAGUGUUUGUUUAUAAGAAAUGCGACUUUUAAGACCAAAAUCUUUUAACCCUAGUUCCACUAUAGUUUCAGUAACACGUUUUGAUGAGGACACCAAGACUAAAGAUUCAAGUCAAGUUCCAGUUGGUCCAGUGACGAGGGUGCGAGCCAAGAGAUUCAAAGAAGAACUUAACAACCUAGUCCACAGAGUCCUAAAACAGGAGGAGACCGUGGUCAACACUGAAGGAGAACAAAGACUUGUACUGAUGAGGACACCAAGACUAAAGAUCCAAGUCAAGUUACAGUUGAUCCAAGUCAAGAGGGGGGGGAAUGAUGAGGACACCAGUUUAGGAGCUUGAUCAAUAUUUAGCUUCUUCUAAUGAGUCUUAUUGGAUUUUGGCAUCUUGUAUUUUUAUUUUAAUCAGUCACUUAAUCACGUUUUAUUUAGUCUUUGUUUUUAUCUUGUGAAAAGUCAAACACUUGACUUGUGUGAGUCCAAGAGUCUUUUUUUUUUUGUGAUUGUUAGGGUUUUCAUUAGGAAGACAAAUGGGCUUUUCUUUCAUGUAAUUUCGUCCAUAAGAGGGCUUGAAAACGUUUGGAAAAAUCAGAUUAUGAUGAAAUGAAAUUUGUGAGU